rnacentral:lncRNA from 1 species
AAAACAUCAUUUUAUUUGCUGUGUGAUAAUGCUGUCUAUUGUUUACCUCAUGUCUGCUAAUCUUAGUUAUAAAAAUAUGUUUUUAUGUCUGUAACCACUUAUAUUUUAUGUAUAUUGUCUCAUUUACAUAAAAUUUAUAAAAUUUGCAAAGGAUGUCUUUUAUGUCUUUAUUUACCUAUAGAAAAGAUUAAGUAUGAUUAUUUCUACUUUUUUAUUGUGAAAUUAUUCUGAGGGCUAUUUAUAUUAACUCUUUAGGUUAAAAUCAUAUUCUAUAUUUCUUUUUUAAAAAAAUUUGCCACCAUGAAAAAUAUGGAAAAUAAAAACUAAAUUUAAUUUUCAAAUAAAAUAAACAUGUAUUAAUUUUAAUAUUAAUGAUAUUAUUAGUGUAGAUACAAUUAUUGUAUGUUAAAAUUAAUUUUUAACCAGAUAAUUUUCCUUAAGUUCACAAUUUUCUCCAUCUCUCUUGGAUCUCAGUCAAGAAUAUUGGGAGUCCAAGAUGAUGUCAAUAGCUGUUUGGAUGCGUAUCACAUGAGUUGGACUUUGUUAAAAUUCUCUGCAAAGUAUAUGGAAACAAGGAGAGUCUAACUUCCUGAUAGACUCUAAUAAUAAUAGAAAAGAGACAAAAGAAGUUUAUGUUCCAUCCAUGUUGCUGCAAAUGGUAUUAUUUUGUUUUUUUCUAUGGCUGAGUAGUAAUCCAUUGUGUAUAUGUACCACAUCUUCUCAAUCCAUUCAUUGUAAAUAAACAUGGAAGCUGUUUCCAUGUUUUGGCUAUUGGGAAUAGUGCUGCAGUGAACAUAGGGGUGCAUGUAUCUUUAUGAAUGAAAGUUUUAUCUGGAUACAUGACCAGGAGUGGGAUUUCUGGAUGGUAUGGUAGUUUUAUAUUUAGUCUUCUGAGCAAUAUCCAUACUGUUUUCCAUAGUGUUUGUACCAAUUUACAUUCCCACCAGUAGUGAAGGAGGGUCCCUUUUCUCCACACCCUCUCCAGCAUUUGUUAUUUGCAGACUUGUUAAUGGUGACCAUUCUGAUCUGUGUAAGGUGGUACCUCAUUGUAAUUUUCAUUUGCAUUUCUCUAAUAAUUAGUGAUGUUGAGCAUUUUUUUCUGUGCCUACUGGCCAACACUGUGUCUUCUUUGGAGAAAUGUCUCUUUAUGUCUUCUGCUUCUUUUUCAUUUGUUUUUUUGUUUUUGAGUUAUUUACCAUGAUCAAGUGGGAUUUAUCCCAGGAAUGAAAAAAUUCUUCACUAUCAGCAAAUCAAUCAGUGUGAUACACUAUAUCAAUAAACUGAAAAAUAAAACCAUGUAAUCAUCUCAAUAGAUGCAGAAAAAGAUUUCAAAAAUUCAACACUAAUUUCUGAAAAAAACAAAAAACAAACAAAAAAAAAACUCUCCAGAAAGUGGACUAGAGGGAACCGACCUCAACAUUAUAAAAGCCAAAUGUAACAGACUCACAAAUAACAUCAUUCUCAGUGGUGUAAAACUAAAAGCAUUUCCACUAAGAUCAGGAACAAGACAAGGAUGUCCACUUUCACCAUCUGUUAUUCAACAUAGUUUUGGAAGUCCUAUCCAUGGCAAUCAGAGAAGAAAAAGAAAUAAAAGGAAUCAAAAUUGGAAAAGAAGAAGUAGAACUAGCACUGUUUGUAUAUGAUAUGAUAUACUAUACCUAGAAAAAUCCUAAAGACACUAUCAGAAAACUGUUAGAGCUCAUCAAUAAAUUUGGUAAAAUUUCAGGAUACAAAAUUAAUACAGAGAAAUGGAUUGCAUUUCUAUAUACUAACAAUGAAAGAUAAAAAAGAGAAAUUAGGGAAACCAUUCCAUUUAGCAUUGAAUCAAAAAGAAUAAAAUACCUAGAAAUAAAACUAACCAAAGAGACAAAAGACCUGUACUCUGAAAACUGUUAAGACACUGAUGAAAGAAAUCAAAGAGGACACAAACAGGUGGAAAGAGAUACCACACUGUUGAAUUGGAAGAAUAAAUAUUGUAAAAAUGACUAUGCUACCAAGGCAUUUGCAAUCUACAGAUUCAGUGCAAUCCCUGUCAAAUUACCAGUGACAUUCUUUACAGAACUACAACAAAAUAUUUUAAAAUAUGUACGGAAACACAAAAGACCCAAAUAGCCAAAGCAAUAGUGAAAAAGAAAAACAGAACUGGAGGAAUCAGGCUCCCUGAUCUCUGACUAUACUACAACUCUACAUUUGUCAAAACAGUAUGGAACCAGCACAAAACCAGAAAUAAACCUCAAUGAAACAGGAUAGAAAGCCCAGAAAUAAACCAAGCACCUGUGGUCAACUAAUCUCUGACAAAGGCAGCAAGAACAUACAAUGGAGAAACAACAUUCUCUUCAAUAAAUUGUGCUGGCAAUAUUUGACAGCUACAUGUAAAAGAAUGAAAUUAGAACAUUCCCUAACACCAUAUACAAAUAAACUCAAAAUGGAUUAAAGAUCUAAAGGUAAGACCAGAUACUACAAAACUCAGAGGAAAGCAUAGGCAGAACUCUCUUUGGCAUAAAUCACAGCAAAGUCUUGUUAGAUCCACCUCCUAGAACAAUGACAAUAAAAACAAAAAUCAAUGGCACCAAAUUAUAUCUAUUGUUUUACAAGAAGAAAAACUAUAUUCACUUGCCGUGUGUUCAUUAUUGGCUCUGAGAACAGUACAAGAUUAAACAAGCAAGGCCCCAGCAGAAAUGUUGGAAUUGCCAAAGUGUUGUCCACGUAUUAGGUCCUCUGCAGCACUACUUUUUUUGUCCUUUUUCACUACUGAAAACUGAUCAUCCUUUCUGGAAAGGUUGGAAAGAUCUCUAGAGCUUAUUGUGUUAGCCUUAUAGGCAUCUAAUACAAUUUUAUUUAUUCAGUGUCUUUAAUUACAUACAGCUCUUCAAUUGUCUUUUAAACCAUCCCUAAGGUAUAGCUCAAGCAGUGACAGGUUGCACAAAUAAGGAUGCUUACUUAUUGCUUUGGAGAAGAAAAUAUUGUUUGUGGUAAGCACACUUGUCAAGCAGAUUAAAAAUGAUCUAAUUAUGUGAAAAACUAUUAGUCUACAGUAUAGAUUCAAAAGUGCUGAUCUUUAACCUGGUGUAAUCUGCCCUUGAUUUGUUAAUAUCAGUGAAGCAGUGCUAACAUUGACACUUGGAAUGCAUUUUUCCUUUUUUAUUGUUGUAUAUUUCUGUACCACUCAGCCCUUUUUCUUACAUGUAGUAGAUUCUGUACACACAUUUUCCCCCCCUAAAUAAUGGUAUUAUUGCGUAAUUAUACCAUUUAGGAGAAAGAUAACAUCUACUUUAAAUAUAUUAUUUUUUGUUCUAAAUGAAAAAUUUCUUUGUUCUCUCAGCAUAUUUAUUUUUUGAAGAAAUUUUUUGCUAGCUCCGGAAAAAGGACAAAUCUUUAGCCUUUCUGAGUCUCAGUUUAUCUGUGGUAUUUGUAUCAUAGAGCUUUUGUGAAGAUUAAAUUAAUCAGGUACUCAUGAUACAAAAAGUUUCUUUCUUUCUUCAACCCCACCUCUGAAUAUCUGAUUUGGCUCCAUAUUUGGCAAGUUUUCCUCACCUUUUUUAAGAUUGUUGUGUUGGCUUGUGUGCAUUUGCGAGUAGUCUUAAGUCUUAUAGGAAGAAUAUGCUUGUAGAUUAAUAUAUAUUAGUUCUUGGCACAAAAUCUUUAGUUUUUAAAAUUUUUUAUUUUUUAUUUUUUUGUCUUUUUGCCUUUCCUACGACUGCUUCCUGUGGCAUAUGGAGGUUCCCAGGCUAGGGGUCUAAUUGGAGCUGUAGCCACUGGCCUAUGCCAGAGCCACAGCAAUGUGGGAUCCAAGACAGGUCUGCCACCUACACCACAGCUCAUGGCAAAGCUGGAUCCUUAACCCGCUGAGCAAGGCUAGGGAUCGAACCCGCAACCUCAUGAUUCCUAGUCGGAUUCAUUAACCACUGCACCACAACGGGAACUCCAAAACCUUUAUUUUUAAUUUGUGUUUCAAAGUAUAAAAUUUGUAAAGUGAAUCAAUAUCUAGUUAUGUGAUAUAGUUAUUUCUGUUUCAUAAUGGGGUUCAUUAUAACAGGGUACAAUUUGUUUAUCUAAAAAUCAGCUCUUUCUGUAAGCAUUUCAGCUAAUUAAAUUAUAUGACUAAAAUGGUAGCAGCAGUAUUACACCUCAUCUAUAAACUCUCAAUAAUCACUAAACAUGCUUUGCAACAUCAAAAAUAUGAAAUUUUUGAUAAUCAUUAUUUCAUAAUCAGGCCCUUUUUAUUUCUCUUCCAGCAUUAACCUAUUAAAUUCUCUAGUGCAUUGCACAAUAUGACUCUUCUGAUUUACCAAGGUUCCAGGCUCUAUUCUAAAGGCUUUAUAUAUAUAUAUGAUAUAAUUUAAUUCUCACAAUAACCUAAUGAAAUUGGCAACUGUUAUUUCUCUACAUACAGGUGAGUAAACAGGCAUGAGUAUGUUAAUGAAUUCACCUGAGGUUACCUGGUGACUGAGUUACCUGAGCCAAGAUCUGAGUCCAGUAGUUUGGCUUCAGAAUCUACAGUUUUAAUCAAUAUCAUAUAUCAUUUCUGUCACUUCUAGUGUCUGCUUUAUAUGUGUAGACGAGUAGGCGAUCCUGUGCUUUGGAUGUUUUUUUCUAGUAGCGAUAAUGUGUUUUAACUGAAUGAUGACAGUUUUUUUCCCUUGACCUCUGGAAGGUAGAUUAGUAGUUGAGCAAUACUGGCAUGUCAACUCUGUGGUCGUAUAAAAGAAGUGUGUGUGUGUGUUUCCCACCUGCACUGUGAUAAUUGAGAAGGUGCUGGGACCUCACCCUGCUAAUGUCAUUUGUUUAAUUCUGUAUCCACUUCAGUUAAUUCAUUUGGGCCACACACAUGUUCACCAUAAUGUUCAAGUUUCUUUAUUCUAAUGCUUUCUUUAGGGGGAACUCGCCACCACCAUAAGGAUGUGUAAUAUACUUAAUUUCAGUGUGUGAAAAAUUUGAUCAUGGUAUAUUGGUGAUAUGAUUGUGAAAUUUGUACUCUGGAACAUUUGCCAGCUAGUCUUAAGACUCAUUUUCUGUUAUGCAUGUAGUCUUAAAUCUACCCUGUAGUUUUAAUUUUGGCAGUGAUCAUUCAGCAUCCCACUGAAUUUUCAUUCUUAGAAAACCAUAGGAAAUGAUAUAGACAAUGAAGAUCAGGUGUCUACAGAUUGGAAAUUUAUAUAUUACUGUCUUUUCAGCUAUUUUAUGAUUUUCUCCCAUCCAUAAUUGAAAUAGAGUUUUUAAAAUGAUUUUGAGAUCUACAUAUUUUUUGUCAGUGAGGGUUCCAUUAGUGUUAAAAAAUGUAGUAGGUGUCUCCACAUAUUAGAUUUUGCAUAUAUUUAUGAUUAUGUUAAGAUUGAAAUGAUAUCAGAGAUCUAGAAUUUAAUGUUCAUUUUCUAUUAUGUUAAGUGACUAUAUUGAGUCCAUGACAUUACAUAUUCUCCCAAGGUCGGAGAAAAUACCAUAU